GGAAGUCAGCUGGGUGGUCUCUGGGAAAGGUUCCCAGAACUCAGAACAUUCUCUGUACCAGUCUUCAGACUGUCGUGUGAGGUUUGAUCCUGGGAGGAGAUCUAUGAGGGAACAAGUCUCAGGAUCAACAUCAACACCUUGAAGGUGGCAGAGCCCAGAGAUGGGAGGAACUCGGUCCCGAGACUUGUUGAGACUGACUGAACCAACCAGCCCUGGACCUGCCUUAUCUCCAGAUUCUGAGUGUGAGAUCCAGACUAAUUCUCCAUCGCUGAAGAUGGUCAAAGAGGAGGUUUUAUUAGUGCUCUGCAGGUGUUGAAAACAGAUUUCCUUCCUGCAAGAGCCCCACAGGAGCAGCCACCGAGCUCUGGAAACACCGGUGGCCCAACAUGGCCAGGAGAACCCCUGCAGGGAAGAAAGAGAUUGUCUACAUU
ensembl:lncRNA